rnacentral:misc_RNA from 1 species
UCUUUAUAUUGAAAUAUAGAAUUCAUUGAUAUAAGGGAUUAUACAACCAUUAGCCUAUUAUAAAAAAUUCAAUCCACAAAGUAAUAUAAAGAUUAAAAACUAAAUACAGCCCAAGGCCUAUAAAAAGAAAAUUCUAUCCUAAACGGGUAAUCCGAAAAAGAAAAAAGGGCAUAUCAUAAUCUUCAAGUUGCAAAGCUACCUGAAAGAGGAAAUGGAUACAGUGAGAAGCAUCGGGGCGGAACUCUUUAGCCAAAGGAUGUGAAUCAACAAAGCUUGAUGAAGUCCUAGAAGAGUUAACACCUUGUCCGUCAUUAUCCUGACGAAGCAGCAAGAUCGAGCAAACUAGAAAAAAAAGACCAAGAAGCUCCAGAGCAAACCAACCAUAUAACCCAUAAAACAUAAACACAUGCUAGUUAAGUAUUCCUGAAGGGUGAUGAGGCAAAAUUUUAAUAGCAGUAGAAGCCAUGGGUUCGGUCAUGAGGUCAGAGCCAAUUAGAGACCCUUGAGGUACCUUCAUCCUUAAAAGCAUUCCCCUCCCAGAGUUAAAGAACAUGGAGCAAAUGCAGUAGCCCAUCUCUGCUUACAACCAACUCGGUAGGCAGAACAUCAAAACCAGGAGGGACGAGCCGCGAUAAGCAGGUAGGAGGAAGGCUGUCCUCUACCCAGAAAGGACAAGGAACAGUCAACGAAAACUCGGCAAGAGGGAGACCUUUAAUCUCAG